CAGCAGCCCAUACUGCUAGCUCAGCUCAGCUGUGCUGACCCUGACCUCACCUUAUCCGAACACCCACCACGCGGCGAAGCCGGAGCGCGCGCGGGCGGCGACGCGAUGGAGCGGAGGCUGUCGGCGGCGUCGAGGCGGUCCGCGCCGUCGCGCAUCCAGCAGCUGUCCCACCUGGCGCAGCGCGUCGGCGCCGUCAACCUCGCCGAGGGCUUCCCGGACUUCCCCGCGCCUCCCCACGUCAAGGCCGCCGCCGCCGCCGCCAUCGCCGCCGACCACAACCAGUACAGGCAUGUGCAGGGCAUCUGCGACAUCCUCGCGGAGACGGCGAAACGGGACCACGGCCUCGACGCCGACCCGCUCACGGACUUCGUCAUCUGCUGCGGGCAAUCGGAAGCGUUCGCCGCUGCCAUCUUUGCAAUAAUAGAUCCAGGGGAUGAGGUUUUGCUCUUCGACCCUGCUUACGAAACGUACGAGACAUGCAUUGAACUGGCCCGAGGUGUCCCUGUGUAUGUGCCAUUGGAUCCACCUUCUUGGACUCUGAACCAAGAUGAAUUCUUGAAAUCUUUUACAAGUCGAACGAAGGCGGUGGUCUUGAACAGCCCGCACAAUCCAACAGGGAAGGUCUUCAGCAAAGAGGAGUUGCUUAUUAUUGCCCAAGCUUGUCAGAAAAUGGAUUGCUUUGCAAUAACUGAUGAGGUUUAUGAGUAUAUUACUUAUGAUGAGAACAAGCAUAUCUCACUGGCUUCUCUUCCAGGGAUGCAAGAGAGGACCAUCAUCACAUCCUCACUAUCUAAAACUUACAGCGUAACUGGUUGGAGAAUUGGGUGGGCUUGUGCUCCAGCAAGCAUUGCCUCAGCAAUAAGAAAUAUCCAUGUCAAACUAACAGAUUCAGCUCCUGCACCAUUCCAAGAAGCUGCACUGAUCGCAUUAACCAGCACACCGGACUUCUAUUCGUCCCUGAAAAAAGACUAUGAGGUGAGAAGAGACUUCAUCCUUUUGCUGCUGAAAGAUUUUGGCUUUCACAUCAGCUUCAAGCCACAAGGUUCAGUCUUUGUAUUUGCUGAGCUGCCCUCGUCCUGCCAAAUUUCUGAUGUGAGUUCCUAUGCUAUGAUCCUGAACUAAAUCUGAAACAUGAAUAGGAGAUGCCACUAAUAUCUGACACUUAUGGAAUUCGAAACAACAAGUAGCUGGUGCAGGAAAUUUGUGCGCAGAACAUGAUAUUCUAAUACUGAUAGAUUUCGUAACGAACUUGAUCAAUGGCGCCGGUGUGGCAGCUGUGCCUGGCCGUGGGUUCUUCCACAGAAAUUGUGACGGUGAAAGCUACCAUCACCGGUACGUCAGGUUUGCGUUCUGCAAGAGCGAUGACACACUGAUGGCUGCUGCUCUAAGGAUGAGGAAGCUGGCGGACACCAAGGGAAAGACGUGCCUUACUGGCAGUGGCAAACAAGAGGAUCAGACUGUCUCUGCCUCUCAUUGAUGCGGUUCUGCUUGAAUGUGCAUCCUGGUGCGGUUUUGUUUGAAUAGAUUUAUUCUUUUUGUAGUUUCUGGGUAGAAGUUUGAUGUUAUGCAGUGCUUCUUUACGUGGACAACAAGAACAAAAAAAAGGAACCUUUAUUCAUUUCAUCUUUUCUCAUGCAUUCAAAAUGGUUACAAGGAGGAUGUACAAUAUGA